rnacentral:lncRNA from 1 species
UGACUACGUGAUAUACAUGUUUAUUCAUGAUAGUAUAUGCGUGUGAUAAAUGAUUUGGAUGACAUAGUGUCGUGAGUUGAUUGAUAUUGGAUAAGAAUAUAUGGAUUAUAGUGAUUGGAUCUUGUUGGUUGAUUGUUGAUUGAGAUAGGAUAACAGGUGGAUAGUCUAAUAAAUAGACGAGACGAUGUCGGAUUUUCGAUAGGAUUCAUAUGAUAAUUGAUUGGUAAUAUGUUAUGUGGAAUAUGACUUGACUAUAUAUUAGAGUCAAAGCAUGAUUAUGUGUUAAGUGAUAUGUGAUAGGUUUAAAGGGGUAUAUAAGUGGGUAUCGAUAUACGUGAUAUGUAUAUGCGAUAUAUUGUUUAGUGACUAUAGUAUUAUCUUAUUCUCGUAAAGGAUUUGGACGAGACGUGUACGCUCGAAGACGUCAGAAAGUCGGAAUGGUAUUGCAAAGCGAAUAAGGGAUGAAUCGAGUAAGCGAAGCGAUGUGGCGAAUAGAGUAUAGCUAGAGAUGGUCUAGAGAUUACGAGAUGCAUAGAUUGUGAAAGUUGAAAGAUGAGAUAGAGAUGUGAGACUGGAGUCAGAUUUAAGGCAAGUAUCCUAAACCUUUCCCUUGGAUAUAUUGCAAAUAUUCUGAUCCAUUCCUUUGGUAUAUGUUUCAAGUAUUCAUACCUUUCUUUUCAAUGUUCGAAAGUGCGAGUAUUCUGAACCAUUCUUUCUAAUCUUCAAGUUUCUAAAGAAUUUCCGUUUUACAAAUUAAUUCGAAGUUCAGAUUGUCAUUGAAGCAUGUGUUGCUCAGUGAUAGUUAGAGCUUUGAAUGAAUUGGGAUCUUCUUGAUUAUUCAACCCGCCAUUGUCAUGCUGGUUUAGCAGGCUAAAUUCAGUUGCUUAGCCGAUAAUGGAGGAUACUGAAUAGUUGAGGAUUUCCUGAACUGUGAUUUAUGAAAUGAUGGAUCAUGAUUUAUGAAUAGAUUAUUAUCAAAGUUUGAAUUGGAAUUAUUCUGUUGUUGAUGAUAUUUAUGAUGAUGUUCUGUUAAUUUACAUUGGCUUCUUGAAUUGAAUUAGAGAAUUGGAUUAUUGUUUUUAUAUAAACCUGUGGACCAGAUUCGUGGUCAUGUUAGGCCAAUGAGUGCCUUGGAUCCAGUGAUAGAGCAUGGCGGGGCCUGCUCGGGGUUAGUGCGGAACUGAUCAGCUGCCUAACCUUGGUUUUAAUUAAAAUGUGAUAGUCCAAUUCAAUAAUUCUUUUGGAAAGAUUGAAUUCCUCAGUAUUCAAUUGCUGCAAGGUAUUGUGGUGUUCUUAUACAAUACCUAAACUCGUGAACUCAGGUUGAACCCUUUUAUAUCUUGAACUCGUGAAAUUCUAUUAUAUCAUUUCAGAACUAUCAUUGUUUAUUAUUACUUGCUGAGCAUUGUUGCUCACCCUUGCUAUUCCUUUCUAACCAUUUCAGAAAGGCUUAAAGAUGAGAUGAUUGAUUGAGAUUGUGAGUAAGGCUAAUGCUAGGCGAGGAGACAGAGUUGAGGAUCCAGUGGUCGAGGAGUGUUCAGGAAAGUUGAUGAGGUUGGUGCAAGCUGGAAUAGUUGACAGUGAUUCUUCUUAUCGAAGAUGAUCUGAUUUGGUAAGAGAUGUUGUGUAAUAAUAGUGGUAGAUUCUAAUUUCAAUACUGUAACCUGGAUGCGAUCCUGUUGCUUUUAGGGGGUUUAAAUGUUCUCUUUCGAAUCAUUUAUUAAAGUUUAAAUGUUCUCUUGAAAUUAUCCUAUUAUGGCUUUCAAGAUUGAAAUUCAGGUUUUGAAAUCAUUCGAUUUAUGUUCUCAUUCAAAUCUUUUAUUAAAUGUUUUCACGUUUUAAAUUCUUUUGGAUUUUCAUUAUCAUUUAAAAAAAAAAAAUACAGGUUUUCAAAAGUGUUUAAAAAUGGGUUUUAUGUGGUGACGUCAGAAUCCAGGCCCCCGGAUUCUCGGACCGUCACAGUUGGUAUCAGAGCAACAGGUUAUAAGUAUUUGAAAUUAGAAUAUAGAUCAUAGUUAUAGGUUUUCUAGAGAAGAAUGUGGUGUAACCUCACAUAGAGGUAUGGUCGGACUAUUUAGGAAUAGUCUAGAGAUGUGAGUGAAGCAUAGAGUUUAGUUAGAUGAUCAAGUUAAUUGUGGAUAUCUAAAGAGAUUAGGAUUCUUAAGUUUAGACAUAUGAUUUCUAGUAUGUUGAUUAAUUGAGAUGGUGAAUUAUGGGAAAGGUCAGUAUUAGACCUAUAUAGAAGAGUUUGAUAGUGAAUGAUUGAGUUGAGAAUGGUGAAAAUGCAGAGUUCAGAGUAUUCUGACUAUACUGCAUAUUUGAAAUUGGAUUAUUGUAUUGAUUUGAGGAUGAUAUAAAUGCAUGGUUCAUAGUAUGUUGACCAUGUCAGAUAUUUGGAAGAUGUAUAUUGUUUUGAGUGAAGAUAUGAAGAGUAAGUGUAGAGUAUGAGUUGUAUUGGAUUAGAAGGAGAGAUUGGUAGAUAGAGGUUGAUAGGUGAGAAGUGAAUGAUAGAGAGUACGUGGAAUUGAGUCCAGUUAUUAGAGAUGAUGUCUACGAGUAAGUUAGAACGUUAGUCCUCGACGACAACGCUUCGAGCUAAUCGGGAUUUCAAAUGGCAUCAAGGUGGGCCCAUAACCCACAGGUUGAUGAUCCAGACAAUCGAAGAUACGUUACGUGUUUGUGCUAUGGAUUUCAAAGGCAACUGGGAUAAAGUAGAAGAAUGUAAACUACAUGGGCCAGAGUUAUUACGGACGAUAACGUCUACGAUGAUAUUUUACGAGGCUAAUACGAGUCAAAUCGAUUGAUUAUCGGGAACGUUGAGAAGAAGACUUACGUCGAACAACGAUUUAUUGAAGUAGAGUCGAAAUCUGAGAAGACCUUGGCAAUACCUCUCUUCAACUAAAGAUUCUUUUGAUUGUUUUCUCAUCAGUGAGAUAUUAUUAUGAUAUCUUUUCUACAAAAGUUUUGAUAAAUGAGAUCUUCAAUUUCUCAAAUUCUAAGAUGACAUUGAUAUUGAUGAUUGGUAUGAGUUGGAAGACAAAGAUGUGUGAUAAAGGAUUGUUGUGAAGAGACAGUGAUGUUCUUUGAUAUUGUUUGACAUUUCUUGACAGUCCUUGAUAUUAUUUCAUCUUCUUGGAUAUCCCAUGAUGUUCUUUGAUAUUUUGAUAUCCGUUGAUAUUCGUUGAUAUUCUUUGACAUUCUUUGAUAUUCCUUGAUAUCUUUUCGAUGUUCCUUAAAAUAUUCCUCGAUAAUCCUUAACAUUUCUUGAUGCUCUUUGAGAUUUCUUGGAUUCUUUCCAUUUGAUUGGGAUGAACAACUCUAUUUAUAGGGGACACAAGGUAUACCUGUCUGUGUGAUAGGAGUUGGAUGGGACGCCAUCACUUGUGUGUGUUGUGAUUACAAGAAGGUUAACAACCUUUAGUAGUGUCUAAUAUAGACACGCAACAUUAAGUUCAUUUGAUCGUAUUGAUCUCCCAGUCACUCUUGUAUUCCAAUGUGACCUACUUUGAAAGCAUUUUGUUCCUCCAAAAUUCCCAAAGAUUGAUUCUUGGGAAAACGAAUUUGGCAAUUGUGAAAGUUUUGAUUCUCCUGUAUUUUUAAAAGCUAAAGGUAUGCCAAGGUUGAUCAAAAGAUGGAUGACGAUACGAUAUUACGAAGUGUGUACGGUUUCGUUUUCUUCGGGGGGUUCCGAGGACGGAAUCCUUAUAAGGGGGUAGAAUGUAAUAUCCCAUAUUUUUUAAAUUUAGACUUGAUUGUUAUAAAUCUAUCUGUCUAAAUAUUAUUGUUGGCUUUAGUUGAGAAGUGAAUUGAUUAUGUGAAUAGCUUUAUAUGAUUAUACCUGUUUUGUGGAUUAAUAUGGAUUUUACAAAUAUUGCAUCCUCCUUCUUUCUCUGAUUCCGAGGACGGAAUCCCUAUAAGGAGGGUAGAUUGUAAUGACCCGGAUUUUUUAAAAAUAUUUUUAUUAGUAUUAAAAGUGAUUUUUCUUUAAAGAAGGGAAUAAGAUUUAAUAUUUUAUUCCAGUUUAAGGAGUUUUCAAAAUUUUAUACUAAACCCCGGGUUAUUGUGUUAUUGAUAAAUGAUUAUAUUUUUAAAACUGAUUUUCAUAUAUUGUUUCGAAAAUUCUAGAUGAUUAUUAUGUGAAUAUAUGUGUGAUGUGAGUAAGUGGUAUUGGUGGAUUUGUUGGUUAAUUAAUUAUGGUUAAUUAUGAGUAUUAUAUGAUUAAUAUAUGAAUUUUUGUGAAUUUUAUAUUAUCUGGUUUAUUGCGUUAACUGCUCAUAUGUGUUCGUAUUUGAGAGAUUUCAAUUUCUAUAUGCUCAGGAGAAAAUAUAGUUUAUUUGGAUAUUUUCAUAUCGAUUUAUGGAAUGUUAGAUGAUUUUAUAAUCGAUUUACGGAUUUAAUUGCGUAUAUUUAUAUUUAAUUAUUAAUUAUUUGACUUCCGUAAAACCGUCCACUCGUAACGAGGUAGCAAAUUUUCUUCCCGGAAGUUUCAACAAAACUGACCUUUAGCCUAAUUUGAAUAUUCCGGACACUUUUCGUGUUUUGACUUUUUCGAUCCGGAGUACGGUUUUCCCCGGAGUCGGUCCGGCGGAGUUUUUCGGGUAUUUUAAUUGUUGAUAAUUAUCCAGUUUGUCUCGAUAAACGUGAAACGAGAUAUUUUGAUUAUUAUAUUAAUUCUUAUCUUGUAAUAAUUGCAAUGGGACCCGCAUACUAAUGACUGAUUAAAAAGCCCCGUUUUGAUGAUUAUCUUGAAAACCAGUACCGAUUGGACCCCGCUUUAUUAAUAUAAAGCUAUUAAAUACGUAUUUUCAUGUCAUAAACGAUCCAAAGGGGUACCAAUUAUUUGUAAAUAUAAAUAGACCUUUCUAGAGCUUAUUUUCACCCGUAAAAUCAUUUCACCAGUUUCUUUGCACGAAUACCGAGAGAAACCGAGCGGUGUUCUUCGUGUUCUUCAUAAUCAAACGAAGAUUUGAAGGUGUUAUUGGAGUCAGAAUCAAGCGUGCAAAUAGUCAAAUCGAAGAUAUCGAAGAGUAGAACCCAAAUCAAUCAUCAAAAACAACAUGAGAUUCACAGGUAGGGAGUAAUUGAAGUUUUAAAAUUCGAAUUAUUAUGAUUUAAAUAGUGAAUUUUUGCAAACGUGUUUGUUUGAUUGUUUGGAUGAUUCCAUGUUGUAGAACGUGUUUUUCUCGUCGUUUUGGUAUAUUAUAUGUUGAAUUUUGAGUUCGGAAACAUCUAGAAAAGUGGGUUUGAUUAUUUGGUUGUGUUCUUGGUGUUCUUGAGGUGUUCAUAAAUAUUUUCACCGGAUUUUUUAUUAGAUGAAUCUGGGUGCAAUAUGAGGGUACCAUCAGGGGUGUUGGGUUACCAGGAGUUUGUUGGUGGUCUUGGAUGUUUCGUGGGUGCUCGAUUUCGAGCAAAUCGGGAAGGGAGGUGACUCGCCGGCGGCGAGUUUUUCCCGUCAUAUUCCAGCCAAACGGCUUGAGGAAUCGCAGAAACGAAGCCAUGUCCAAGUUCCCAGUAGUGUCUAGGCCAUAUCUGGAGGUUUUAGUGUGUGUUGGAGCGCUGUAGCGCCGUUAACGGUGAAGCAGUGGUGGCCGGCGGCAAAUUGCCAUUUGGCCACCCAACUUAUGAAGAUGGUGAAGAUCUGGUAUCGAGGUUUUGAAUCUUACAAAGUAACCCCUGUAACUUCUAAAAGUUACAGUUUAAACCUUGGCCGAAAAGUUUCAAAAGUUUACAAAAUAAACCUUUUGAUUUAAUUUUCUAAAAUUGUUUUAUUUAAUUAUUUUAAAUUUCAAAAAUAGUUUUUAAUUAUUUCUUUAUUCAAAAAUAAAUCUAAAUUAGUUUAUUAAUUAAUUUUAAUUAGUAAUUAAUUAUUUUAAUUGGUCAAUUAAUUUAAAUAUUAAUUGAUUAAUUAUUUUAAUUAAUUAUUAAUUGAUUUUAAUUGAUUAAUUAAUUGGAUUUAAUUAUCCUUUUUGAUUUAAAAAUUCCGAAAAAUAGUUUCGAGCUUUAAAAUAUUUUUCCAAAUUAUAUUCAAGGCUCGAUAAUUGUUUAUGAAUGAUUUCAAGUCCAAUUUCAAGUAUUUGGGACUUGAUUAUUUAUCCGAAAAGUGAUUCUUUUAUCGAUUUUAAUUCCGAAAAAUGUUUAAAAAUUCCAGAAAAUUCCCGAAAAAUCAUUUUGAACCCAAGAUUUGAUUUGACCUCUAUUGGGGUGGGAAACCUUAUGUGUAAUGUGUUGUCUGCUAUUGGUUGGAUGUCUUAUGUGUCGAUAUAAGAGUGAGAAAACGGUUUUAAACAUAUCUUUUGAUCCGUAAGUCGGAAUCGAGUGAAACGAAAGAGAGAUGAAAGCUUAUAAAGUCUAGUUUGGUAUGACAUAAUAAUAUGAUGGAGUCGAGAAUGUGAAUAAUUGUUGUUAAAUGUGCCGAAUGUGAUUAUAUGUUAUUGGAUUGUUAUUAAUUGAUGACUACGUGAUAUAUAUGUCUAUUCUUGAUAUUAUAUACGUGAUAAAUGAUUUGGAUGACAUAGUGUCGUGAGUUGAUUGAUAUUGGAUAAGAAUAUAUGGAUUAUAGUGAUUGGAUCUUGUUGAUUGGUUGUUGAUUGAGAUAGGAUAACAGGUGGAUAGUCUUAUACAUAGAGGAAACGAUGUCGGAAUUUCGAUAAGGAUUGAUAUGAUAAUUGAUUGGUGAUAUGUUAUGUGGAAUAUGAUUGAUUAUAUGUUAGAGUCAAAGCAUGCUUAUGUGUUACGUGGUAUGUGAUAGGUUUAAAGGGGUAUAUAAGUGGAUAUCGAUAUACGUGAUAUGUAUAUGCGAUAUAUUGUUUAGUGACUAUAGCAUUAUCUUAUUCUCGUAAAGGAUUUGGACGAGACGUGUACGCUCGAAGACGUCAGAAAGUCGGAAUGGUAUUGCAAAGCGAAUAAGGGAUGAUUGAGUAAGCGAAGCGAAGUGGCGAAUAGAGUAUAGCUAGAGAUGGUCUAGAGAUUACGAGAUGCAUAGAUUGUGAAAGUGGAAAGAUGAGAUAGAGAUGUGAGACUGGAGUCAGAUUUAAGGCAAGUAUCCUACACCCAUCUUUUGGAUAUCUUGCAAUUAUCCUGAUCCAUUCUUUUCGUAUGUGUUGCAAAUAUUCGUUCCUCUCUUUUUCAUAUUUGGAAAGUGCAAAUAUUUUUAUCCAUCCUUUUCUAAUCCUCCAAAAAUUCAGAUAAUUCCAGUUUUACAAAUUAAUUCGAAGUUCAAAUUGUCAUUGAAGCAUGUGUUGCUCAGUGAUAGUUAGAGCUUUGAAUGAAUUGGGAUCUUCUUGAUUAUUCACCCCGCCAUUGUCAUGCUGGUUUAGCAGGCUAAAUUCAGUUGCUUAGCCGAUAAUGGAGGAUACUGAAUAGUUGAGGAUUUCCUGAACUGUGAUUUAUGAAAUGAUGGAUCAUGAUUUAUGAAUAGAUUAUUAUCAAAGUUUGAAUUGGAAUUAUUCUGUUGUUGAUGAUAUUUAUGAUGAUGUUCUGUUAAUUUACAUUGGCUUCUUGAAUUGAAUUAGAGAAUUGGAUUAUUGUUUUUAUAUAAACCUGUGGACCAGAUUCGUGGUCAUGUUAGGCCAAUGAGUGCCUUGGAUCCAGUGAUAGAGCAUGGCGGGGCCUGCUCGGGGUUAGUGCGGAACUGAUCAGCUGCCUAACCUUGGUUUUAAUUAAAAUGUGAUAGUCCAAUUCAAUAAUUCUUUGGAAAGAUUGAAUUUCUCAGUUUAAAUGCUGCAAGGUAUUGUAAAUCAUUCUAUACAAUACCAUGAACUCAUGAACUCAGGUUGAAUCCUCUUAUAUCUUGAACUCGUGAACUUCUGUUAUAUCAUUUCAGAACUAUCAUUGUUUAUUAUUACUUGCUGAGCAUUGUUGCUCACCCUUGCUAUUCCUUUCUAACCAUUUCAGAAAGGCUUAAAGAUGAGAUGAUUGAUUGAGAUUGUGAGUAAGGCUAAUGCUAGGCGAGGAGACAGAGUUGAGGAUCCAGUGGUCGAGGAGUGUUCAGGAAAGUUGAUGAGGUUGGUGCAAGCUGGAAUAGUUGACAGUGAUUCUUCUUAUUGAGGAUGAUCUGAUUUGGUAAGAGAUGUUGUGUAAUAAUAGUGGUAGAUUCUAAUUUCAAUACUGUAACCUGGAUGCGAU